UAACACCAGCCCCUCGAGUGGUAGGGAUGAUUAUUUGGCCUAAAGCGUCCGUAGCCGGCUUUGUAAAUCUCUCGUUAAAUCCAACGUCCUAAGCGUUGGGCUGCGAGGGGAACUGCAGAGCUAGAGGGUGGGAGAGGUCAGCGGUAUUCCUGGGGUAGGGGCGAAAUCCAUUGAUCCCAGGAGGACCACCAGUGGCGAAGGCUGCUGACUUGAACACGCCUGACGGUGAGGGACGAAAGCUGGGGUAGCGAAUCGGAUUAGAUACCCGAGUAGUCCCAGCCGUAAACGAUGCAGGCUAGGUGUUGGGUUGGCCAUGUGCUAGCUCAGUGCCACAGGGAAGCCGUUAAGCCUGCCGCCUGGGGAGUACGGCCGCAAGGCUG
rnacentral:rRNA from 1 species